rnacentral:rRNA from 1 species
AAUCAACCUACCCUUCAGAGGGGGACAACAGUUGGAAACGACUGCUAAUACCGCAUACGAUCUAAACUCGGCAUCGAGGAUGGAUGAAAGGUGGCCUCUAUUUAUAAGCUAUCACUGAAGGAGGGGAUUGCGUCUGAUUAGCUAGUUGGAGGGGUAACGGCCCACCAAGGCGAUGAUCAGUAGCCGGUCUGAGAGGAUGAACGGCCACAUUGGGACUGAGACACGGCCCAGACUCCUACGGGAGGCAGCAUG